GACGAACCGUGCGAACGUUAUUCGGAAUCACUGGGCUUAAAGGGCGCGUAGGCGGGCUGUCAAGUUUGGGGUGAAAUCCCGCGGCUCAACCGUGGAACUGCCUCAAAUACUGACGGCCUCGAGGAAGGUAGGGGCAUGCGGAACUGUAGGUGGAGCGGUGAAAUGCGUUGAUAUCUACAGGAACUCCGGUGGCGAAAGCGGCGUGCUGGACCUUUUCUGACGCUGAGGCGCGAAAGCUAGGGGAGCAAACGGG
rnacentral:rRNA from 1 species